GGCAAUAACAGGUCUGUGAUGCC
rnacentral:siRNA from 1 species